AAUAAAAAUGGCAGAAGCAUUUCAAGUAAUUCUAAAAAGUAGAAUGGCAAUUACUUAAUAUACCACAUUAGGAUAAAGAUUGAAAAUUUAUAUCAGAAAGAAGGACAUAACUUUGAUUCUCCAUGUUAAAUAAAAUAAGGCUACCAAUUACCUGGAAAUGCAUGUAGGAAACAAAAUGACUGCCACGAAGAAUUACCUCGAGAUCAAAUCAACCAAAUAUAUUUCUUAACUGCUGUUAGGCUCCCAGAAAUACAAAAUAAGAAUAAUUUAAUUGGGAGGAUGAGAAAUCAAAUUACAAAUGACUUUUUUAGAGAGUAUGGAGCAGAUACGAUUAGGAACCCUGGUGUGUCCUUCAGGAAUAAGUCCCAUCAGACGAAGCAGUAGGUAAGAGUUCCAGACACACAGGGUGAAGAAAGGAUGUGGCCGUGCAAAUGAGUGUUAGGUACAUAGGUCCUGGGGGAAAAGCCUACGACACUCAAGCCCUUCGCAUUUACUUUGGACAUGAUUCGUUUGGAAAGUUCAGCCUGAGAGAUAAAGGUUGAAUAAUGGGCUGGGUUUGAUUCACCUACUGAUAAGGGAGACAGAUAGUGGGGUAGAACCUUGGUCCUGAUAAGGCCAGUAAAAAACGCUGAUAUUGCAGGAACAUUGGAGGCUGGUGACAUUUACGAGGACAUAUUUAUGCAAUGAGAAAACAAGUAUUUGUAAAGAGCUCUCUUUUAAUUGCAAAUCUAUAUACUGUAGUAUAGUAAACUCUGAAGAAAAUAGAAAAAGAUAGCUUAAAACUAUAUUUCCUGGUUUGUUGUUGGACCAGAAAGGAAAAUCAGAGUUCCCCUGGUGGCAUAGGAGGUUAAGGAUCCAGCGUUGUCACUAUGGUGGCUCAGGUUGCUGCUAUGUCUUGGGGUUUUCCCUGGUCCCAGGACUUCUGCAUGAUUUUCUGCAUGAUGUAGGUGCAGCCAAAAAGAGGAAAAACAAAAGAAAGAUCUGAUAGAAGUUAUCAAAGACCUGCUUCUCAUUUUCAGUUCUGUAACAUUUCCUGUUUCCUCCUCCUAAGUCUUCUGCUUGAGCCCAGAUUUCCCUUAAUGUAAGAGCAGAAAGUGCUUCUCCAUAAUAGAAUCCAGUUCUUUGAUUUCCUUCUUUAAGUCUUCAUUUCAAAGUAACUGUAAUGCAGUGGGUUUUGUUCAUUCUCUGUCUGGCAUAAUUUUGACCCUUUUUGAAAUCCCAACUAAUUAUUUUACAAUCCUUAUAUAGAGUAUAAUGCAAAGAAAAAAAAAAAA
rnacentral:lncRNA from 1 species